rnacentral:rRNA from 1 species
UACGUAGGGCGCAAGCGUUGUCCGGAAUUAUUGGGCGUAAAGAGCUCGUAGGCGGUCUGUUACGUCCGCUGUGAAAACCCAGGGCUUAACCCUGGGCUUGCAGUGGAUACGGGUAGACUAGAGGCAGGUAGGGGAGAAUGGAAUUCCCGGUGUAGCGGUGAAAUGCGCAGAUAUCGGGAGGAACACCGGUGGCGAAGGCGGUUCUCUGGACAGUUCCUGACGCUGAGGCACGAAGGCCAGGGGAGCAAACGGG